rnacentral:rRNA from 1 species
GAUGAACGCUGGCGGCGUGCCUAAUACAUGCAAGUCGAGCGAACGGACGAGAAGCUUGCUUUUCUGAUGUUAGCGGCGGACGGGUGAGUAACACGUGGAUAACCUACCUAUAAGACUGGGAUAACUUCGGGAAACCGGAGCUAAUACCGGAUAAUAUUUUGAACCGCAUGGUUCAAAAGUGAAAGACGGUCUUGCUGUCACUUAUAGAUGGAUCCGCGCUGCAUUAGCUAGUUGGUAAGGUAACGGCUUACCAAGGCAACGAUGCAUAGCCGACCUGAGAGGGUGGUCGGCCACACUGGAACUGAGACACGGUCCAGACUCCUACGGGAGGCAGCAGUAGGGAAUCUUCCGCAAUGGGCGAAAGCCUGACGGAGCAACGCCGCGUGAGUGAUGAAGGUCUUCGGAUCGUAAACCUCUGUUAUUAGGGAAGAACAUAUGUGUAAGUAACUGUGCACAUCUUGACGGUACCUAAUCAGAAAGCCACGGCUAACUACGUG